rnacentral:rRNA from 1 species
UACGAGGGGGGCUAGCGUUGCUCGGAAUCACUGGGCGUAAAGGGUGCGUAGGCGGGACUUUAAGUCAGGGGUGAAAUCCUGGAGCUCAACUCCAGAACUGCCUUUGAUACUGAAGAUCUUGAGUUCGGGAGAGGUGAGUGGAACUGCGAGUGUAGAGGUGAAAUUCGUAGAUAUUCGCAAGAACACCAGUGGCGAAGGCGGCUCACUGGCCCGAUACUGACGCUGAGGCACGAAAGCGUGGGGAGCAAACAGG